UUUUCUCAUUCAUCUUGGUCUGCUUUUACUCUUUUGUCAUGUCAUGUAACUCACUCUCCCCUAUACUAAACACAAACAGAAUAUUGGGAUCUUUCCAAUGAAGACAGAGCUGAACAAGAGACAGAGAGACCCUCCACGAAAUGCUGUCAAUUAUUCCUUUGGAUACCUCGGUAUCCUCAACUCUUGCCAAAGUCUCACCUUUCAAUGCCAGUUUUAAGAAACCAACCUCUUUCCCAUCCAAGCUUUCACCUUCCUAUGAUGAAUUACCUGCAGCCCAGGCUUCAUUGCAUUGCUGGGUUGUGCUUUGUUUUAAGUUCUCUUUUAUUGGUGUUGAACAAUUUUCAACCUUCAAGUAACUCAGUGGUAUUGGUUGUUGGAUUUGUUGUCUUAGCACAUCUGUGUAUAAGCCUUUAAUUGUUAGAAAAUGAUGAAGUGGAUUAAAGAUAGGCCUUUUGAAAUCAAUUACUUAUUAGCCGAAUUGCUGCUAUUUUUUGCCUCAAAUGGAGAAAUUAUUAUAUAGUAUAGUCUAGGACUAUCAUGUAUACAUGAUUCUGAAUUUCUGACCAAUUUUCGUGACUUGUAGUCGAAUUUUGCAAUUUAUGAGGAAGAGAUAAUUAACAUUAUGUGUCAUAUGGAGAUUAACUUGGACUAUGUUAGUUUGGAACCAUGUAAUAGUUUUUCCAGGGAAUGGUUGUCAUUUUGUAAAAGAUUGGGAAACACCCUUCAUUCAAUUGAUCUUAUUCAAACCCUUUUUUAAGUUCACCAUUGUAAACAAUGUGGAGAAUCAUAUACAGGUAUAGUCACAUACUCACAUUACAUUAUGCAGUUUCAUUUUCACUUCAUAGGUUUUGAUUUCACCUGAUACAAAGCAUUCUGGGCAUGCAUGCUUUCCACUUAAUACACUCAGAGAUGUCAACUUUACUGGAGAUAAAACUCUGGUGUUUGAAUUCUGGAAUUUGCAGGGCUAGUCAAGUUAUUGAUUUGUUCCCAACAGUGUCCCCCGAAAUUAUUGUCCGUGAGGCAAGGUUGGAGGACUACUGGGGGAGUGGCAGAGACUCACUGCAAGUGCUUCUUCCCUGAAUAUUCCUUCCCAUUAGAUUUUGUGCUGAGGAUAGACAGAUUGGUGGUGGCUAUGUUAGCCGGAUUCUUUAGGCCGAGAGACUGCAGAAGAAUCUGUUUUGGUGGCUGUUAUUGACAGCUCGCUUGAUGAGUCCUUUUCAUUUGGAAGUGGGGGUCUCAAGAUGGGUGGUUUUGAUGGGAAAUUCAACCUCAACAAAGGCUAUGUGGCUGGUAUAUUAACAGUAGACAAUAAUGCAGACUUUCUACCAAGAAAGGGGUUAUGAGUGCAGCACAUACUUUUGGAGCUUAAGGAGUUAUAUACGUCUUAAGGCCCAAAGAUAUUAUAAUAUUGCCAUUUUUUGACUUGUGACUGGAAUUGCAUACAUAUCAAAUGUGGCGGUCCGGGAAAAUUUUCAGAGGAAGGGGAUAGCUAAGAAAUUGAUAGCAAAGGCAGAGUCUCAUGCCAGAAGUUGGGGCUAAUCUUGUGGCCACAAUGUUAUACAAAGGACAAGGUUACAAAUGUAUCAUGGUUCCAGAAGGAGCAAAGUGGUCUCAGCCAAGAACCUCACCAGAUAUCAGAUUCAACUUCAUGAUGAAACUUCUCAAAAGCUCACCAGCUUCUAAUUAGACAUUGUACUUAGGAGAAAGUAAUACUUACUCUAUAACACUAUCUAUUAUAAAAAAAAAAAAAAAGGAAGUGUUAAGAGGGAGGCUGUUUAUUAUUGGAAUGUGUAUAUAUACAGACCAAAGAAAAAUUGCUUGCAAAAUUAAUUGUAACAUUUUAGAUUACAUUAUGCGAAUGAUCAUUGAUCUUGGAGCCAAUGAUGUCAGAUGACAUCAAUAUAAGGUGGUAAUUGCAUUA